AUGAUAGAGGUGCGGCAAUUAUAAGUAGAUACGGUAUCAGGUACGGAAAUACCUCGUAUGAAAGGGACUGCCGCCGAAGAAAAAAUUGAAUUUCCGUUUGAUUUUUUCUGGGAUACGGUAAAAUAUGCCGUGUACUGUCACGUUAUGUGGAGUGCUAUCGU
rnacentral:ncRNA from 1 species